UACGUAGGUGGCAAGCGUUGUCCGGAUUUACUGGGCGUAAAGGGCGUGCAGGCGGUUUGUUUAGUCUAGGGUGAAAGCUCCCGGCUUAACUGGGAGAGGUCCUUGGAUACUGGCAAACUUGAGGGAGGCAGAGGAAAGUGGAAUUCCCGGUGUAGUGGUGAUAUGCGUAGAUAUCGGGAGGAACCCCAGUGGCGAAGGCGGCUUUCUGGGCCUUACCUGACGCUUAGACGCGAAAGCGUGGGGAGCGAACCGG
rnacentral:rRNA from 1 species